rnacentral:lncRNA from 1 species
GUACGAAGAAGCUGGUCCUCAACCAGGCCGAUCUGUUGGACGUCGUCGAUUUCCACGCCGUUGUUGAAUCCUUCGAACCCCGGAGAAUAUCUACAGAUUCGAAUGUCCGGUGUUCGAUUUUCCAGUCUUUCGCUGUAGAGAUCGGCCAGGUACCUUCCUUGUUCUGCUUCGUUUACUCUUUUUGAUGCGGAUGAUAGAGAAGCAAGUUAUUUAAAGAAUGCUGAAUGGGACACGAGAGAUUUAUACAGAUGAUUGACCGAAAGGGGAUCUUGCAGAAAUUGACGAUUGAGAAUUGGUUAAAAAGCGGUGAACAUGCAGAAAAACAAAGAGGUUGAAUUAUGAGUUGAAAUUAGAAGAUGGUUCUGAGUUCUCAUCUCAUCCAUGGCUGUGACUGUAGCAAGUUCCCAGUAAUGACAAUAGUGUCUACGUUUUCACUUGGAUUUGUUCUGGCUUCAGAGGAUUUCUGUCUUGAUGAUCAUC